rnacentral:rRNA from 1 species
GACGAACGCUGGCGGCGUGCUUAACACAUGCAAGUCGAACGGAAAGGCCCCUUUGGGGGUACUCGAGUGGCGAACGGGUGAGUAACACGUGAGUAACCUGCCCUUGACUUCGGGAUAACUUCAGGAAACUGGGGCUAAUACCGGAUAGGAAUCCUUGCUGCAUGGUGGGGGUUGGAAAGCUUCGGCGGUUUUGGAUGGACUCGCGGCUUAUCAGCUUGUCGGUGGGGUAGUGGCUUACCAAGGCUUUGACGGGUAGCCGGCCUGAGAGGGCGACCGGCCACAUUGGGACUGAGAUACGGCCCAGACUCCUACGGGAGGCAGCAGUGGGGAAUAUUGCACAAUGGGCGGAAGCCUGAUGCAGCAACGCCGCGUGCGGGAUGACGGCCUUCGGGUUGUAAACCGCUUUCAGCAGGGGCGAAGCUUUUGUGACGGUACCUGCAGAAGAAGCACCGGCUAACUACGUG